GAAGUUGGACAUUCCAAAGAUGGCGUAGAUGAACAUGACCAGGAAGAGCAGGAGGCCGAUGUUAAACAAGGCGGGAAGGGACAUCAUCAGAGCAAAGAGCAGCGUGCGGAUCCCUUUUGCCCCUUUGAUCAGACGCAGGAUUCGACCAAUCCUGGCGAGACGGAUCACUCGGAACAGGAGAAAGUACUAAAAAUAUUGAAUGAAUGAAUUGAGAGAGCCCAAGGAACCCCUCUUACUUCAUAGAUGCCUGAAAUUUUCAAGGUGUGAGCAUGUGACUACGUACCACUAGGUUUCCAAUGACCAUGACCAUCAUGUAAACAAUAAGGCACAUGGCUUGACCAGCGACCUCCAUACAGUCCCACAUGGUUUCUAUCCACUCUCCACACAGCACGCGGAACACAAUCAGGAAGGAGUGGAAGAAGUCAUUCAUGUGCCAGCGUGGGAGUGUACAGUCUUCAUUGAUCUUGCAGACACAUUCUUUGUAGCUUUUACCGAAGAGCUGCAUGCCGACCACAGCAAAAAUGAAGACGAUGAUGGCCAAGACCAAGAUGGGGAUCAUUCAACAUAUCUUCAGAAAGGAGGGAAGAGCACACGAGUUGGUGUGAGAGGGUGAGGAUAAAUGACUCCGUGUGAAAAGGAUGAGGGAGACUGCUGGGCGCUGUAGCAAAACGGAGAAUGUCAGCUCCGUCUGAAAGCGGUGGCCGCUGUUCAGCCCUAAAGGACUGUGCCACGCGGGCGCAUGAGCUCAGUCUUCCCAGCACUUUUAGAGCUCAGUUUGGAUGUUUCAGAGGAACUCUCAGAAAAACCCAUAAUUCUGCUUCUCCCGAUACUUGUGUAUUCAGCUGCUGCCAUCGCUAUUGCCUGUUGGCCCAAGAGGUCACACACACGGCCAUGGCAACCACAGCAAGGAUCAAGUUUAUUAGAUAAAAGGAGCCCAGAAAAAUCACCACAACAAAGAAGAUCAUCAAUGUGUGAGUCCACCUCCCGACGUCACAGCCAGACAGAGUCUCUGUUUUGAUCUCUAUCAUUCUAACAGCCUUCAGACUAAAAACAAAACAAAUACUACUUACCCUGAAUCUGUGCUUGUACCACAAAGGAGAGCAUCUUUGGACCCAUCCAAGUAAUAAAAAUACCCUGUUUAGGAACAAAUUGAAGAAUAUAACAUUAGAGAAUGUAAGCUUUAAGAGUGACACAAAAGUUAAUUAGUAGUCAUAUUCACACAUAUUCAGGCCUAGUUCUAGACAAUGUACAUUCAUUUGUUUAUUUCUUAUAUUUCCAUAUAU